UUGAAGUUGGUUUGUGUCUGUUGCCAAAUGUGUGCUUAGGAAAAAGCAUGAAAUAUAGUGAAAGAUUCCAUUUUUAUGAAAUUUUAGGAAUAAUAUCCUCGUUAGGUUGAUGAUAGGUGCAUUUGACAGAAACAGAAAGCUAUUAGGAACACAUGUCAUUUUGCAUUUAGAGGAUGAUAAAGACUUUCCAAGCCUGAUGCUGAACCCUUCCUACUAACUCCUUGUUGCAUUUAUCUGCUAAUCGAGGGAGGCUUAAACCUGGAGUAAUUUUGGAGCAGCUCCUAAUGGUCGGUUUGGAGGAAGAGCUAUAGGUACUCAACUGAAUUUGCAGAAUCAACUAAUCAAGGCCCCUAAUUUUCAUGGUGUAAAGUGAUUUUCUCAGCAUACCUUGAACUAUCUUGGAGAUUUGGCUGCUUAUGUUAUGUGUUGAUGGUUAACAGCUUACACCCUAAAUUAAAAGUUGUUAGCUAUUUUGUACUCAUAUGCUGAAGGUUUUUAAUCGAGCUGAGGCGUUUGACGACCAUACCUCCAAUACUAAGGUACAUUAAGUUCAUUCCUUGUUUGAUUAUGGUGGUUCUUCUUCUUCCAAGGCUUUUCCGAACCCAAAGCAUUCUUGAUUAUGAUCUGUAUACUUACAAAUUCGGAACAAUAUUGGGCUGCGAUCCAAGACCCAGAGGGAUGUCAUUAAAGGUUUGACGAAUCUGUGAAUGUCAAGCAGCUUGAGAACAUAUUGUGAUCCAUGUCAACUUCCACUAUCGGAUAGCCUAUCUGCAGCAAAGCGCGGGCACGCUUUCUAGUUUUCUUUUGUUCUUUGGUUGAUGAUAAGUGUUGUUCAAUUGAUCAAACAUGUUUAUCAGCUAUAUAUGUAUUUGAAUAUGGUAUUCAUGUUUUGGUGCAUUUUAUAUAAAAUUUAUUAUUUGGCUUCUUCUGCUCCAAAGAUAAAAAUCUGGUAUGCAAAAUUGCAUGCCAGGUUUUUUUUUAUCAAUGAUAUGCACUUUGCGACGGCAUUGUUGCCGUCGCCAAAGACCUGACUGCAAAAUUGUAGAUGGCGUAGCCAUUGCUCUUUGCGACGGCAUAAAUACCGUCGCCAAAAUUCAUGCGACAGCGUAAUUGCCGUCUCAAAUAGCAAUGGCGACGCCACCAACGACAUCGGCGACAUUGCCGUCGCCUAGCCGUCGCCGUUGGUCUUUUGCAACG